GAUGAACGCUGGCGGCGUGCCUAACACAUGCAAGUCGAACGGAAGGACGAGACUUUUGCUUUGCUGACGUGUGGCGCACGGGUGAGUAACACAUGUGUAUAACCCCCUUAAAUGUGGGAUAACACUUGGAAACAGGGGCGAUAACACGGUAGAAUAUCCUGAGCCACAGGGUGGAAUGGAGAGAUACGGCCUUGGUGUAUGUUAUAGCUGGAUCCGCGCUGGAUUGGGUAGUUGUGACGGUAACGGGCUACGAAGGCGACGAUGCGUAGGCGAGCUGAGAGGAGGAUCGGCCACACUGGAGCUGAGACACGGACCAGAGUACUACGGGAGGCAGCAGUAGGGAAUGUUCGGCAGUGGGCGGAAGCCUGACCCAGUAAGGCCACGUGUGUGACGGAGGCCUUCGGAUCGUAAAGCUCUGUUAUGGGGGAAGAACCGCUUUGUCCGGAGACGAACAGUGCUUGACGGUACCGGAUAAAGAAGCACCGGCUAACUACGUG
rnacentral:rRNA from 1 species